CAAUAGCGUAUAUUAAAGUUGUUGCGGUUAAAAAGCUCGUAGUUGGAUUUCUGUCGAAGACAGCCGAUCCAUGUUUUGCAUGUGACGCGGUUUGGAUUCGGCAUCCUCUUGAAUAGCGUCACUGUGCUUCACUGCACGGGAUGUUUCAAGACUUUUACUUUGAGGAAAUUAGAGUGUUCACGGCAGGCUUUCGCCCUGAAUACAUUAGCAUGGAAUAAUACUAUAGGACCUCGGUUCUAUUUUGUUGGUUUCUAGAGCUGAGGUAAUGAUUAAUAGGGAUAAUUGGGGGCGAUUCGUAUUAACACGUCAGAGGUGAAAUUCUUGGAUUGUGUUACGACGAACUACUGCGAAAGCAUUUGCCAAGGAUGUUUUCAUUGAUCAAGAACGAAAGUAAGGGGAUCGAAGACGAUCAGAUACCGU
rnacentral:rRNA from 1 species